rnacentral:lncRNA from 1 species
CCCAGGUUCACACAGCCACCUGCAUCCCUCAGAAGCUCCACUUCUCUCUCUGAUCAGACUGCACAAAUGUCCAGUGUCUGAACCGCAUGGAAGGGCAGGACAGGACUGCAUCUCCCAACGAGCCGAGCCGCCCACAGGACACAGACACAGACACGGCCUCCACAGCCACACCAGGUCCCACCUCAGCCCAGCACAGGCCUUUCCCACAGUCAGUGACCCCAAGGAAAGACGUCGGAUCAGGGAACCAGAUCUCCCCCUUACCUACUUUUAUUUAUUUUAUUUGUUUGAGACGGAGUCUUAUUGUUGCCUAGGCUGGAGUGCAGUGGUGCAAUCUCAGCUCACUGCAACCUCCACCUCCCAAGUUCAAGCAGUUAUCCUGCCUCAGCCUCCCAAGUAGCUGGGAUUACAGGCACCUGCCGCCACGUCCAGCUAACUUUUAUAUUUUUAGUAGAGAUGGGGUUUCAAAGGGGCUGGACACGGUGGCUCAUGCCUACAAUCCCAGAACUUUGGGAGGCUGAGGCAGGCGGAUCAUUUGAGCCCAGGAGUUUGAGAUCAGCCUGCCCAACAUGGUGAAGCCCCGUCUCUACUGAAAAUACAAAAAUUAGCCAGGCAUGGUGGCGCAUGCCUGUAAUCCCAGCUAUUUGGGAGGCUGAGGCAGGAGGAUUGCUUGAGCCCAGGAGGUGGAGUUUGCAGUGAGCUGAGACUACGCCAUUGCACUCCAGCCUGGGCAACCAGAACGAAACUCCGUCUCAAAAAAAAAAAAGAAGAAGAAAAGAAAGAAAGAAAAGAAAUAAGGAGCAAUGGCCAGGUGCAGUGGCUCACACCUAUAAUCCCAGUGCUUUGGAGGGCAAAAGCGGGAGGAUCACUUGAGCUCAGGAGUUUGUGACCAGCCUGGGCAACAUAGUGAGACCCCCAUCUCUAACAACAACAACAACAUCAAAAAAGCCAGGUGUGGUGGCACACACCUGUAGUCCUAGCUGUUCGGGAGACUGAGGAGGAAGGUUUGCUUGAGACUGGGAGGUUGAGGCUGCAGUGAGCCUUGAUCACGAUGCCACUGCACUCCAGCCUGGGUGACAGAGCAAGAUCCUGUCUCUUGAAAUGAGCAGGAAUGUGCUGUUUUACUAGUUAAGAGUAAUAAAUCCUGGUUGGGUGUGGUGGCUCACGCCUGUAAUCCCAGCACUUUGAGAGGCCAAGGCAAGAGGAUCACUUGAGCUCAGGAGUUCGAGACCAGCCUGAGCAACAUGGCAAAAUCCCAUCUCCACAAAAAACUUAAAAAUUAGCCGGGCAUGGUGGUGCGUGCCUGUGUUCCCAGCUACAUGGGAGGUUGAGGUAAGAGGAUCACUUGAGCCUAGGAGGUCAAGGCUGCCGUGAGCCAUGAUCAUACCACUGCACUCCAGGCUGGGGGGCAGAGGGAGACCCUGUCUCAAAAAAAAAAAAAAAAAAAUUAAGAGUAACAACACACCCUGAACCUGUGCCCAGCACACUGAAACCCAGUGAAAGGGGCUGAGAGAGGAUGGAGAGGGGGAGACGAAAAGGACCGAUACCCAGAAUGGGUCAAAACAGACGAGAAGGCAUGGGAAAGGCCAGCACGCUCUUUAUAAGAGUAGAACUCAGCCACCCCAUUACUGGGUAUAUACCCAAAGGAUUAUAAAUCAUGCUGCUAUAAAGACACAUGCAC